rnacentral:tRNA from 1 species
CAAGGAAUAGUUUAAUUAAAAUAUUAAUUUUGGAGAUUAGCGAUAAGAGUGAAUUUUUUCCUUGA